GACGAACGCUGGCGGCGUGCCUAAUACAUGCAAGUUGAGCGCUGAAGGUUGGUACUUGUACCGACUGGAUGAGCAGCGAACGGGUGAGUAACGCGUGGGGAAUCUGCCUUUGAGCGGGGGACAACAUUUGGAAACGAAUGCUAAUACCGCAUAAUAACUUUAAACACAAGUUUUAAGUUUGAAAGAUGCAAUUGCAUCACUCAAAGAUGAUCCCGCGUUGUAUUAGCUAGUUGGUGAGGUAAAGGCUCACCAAGGCGAUGAUACAUAGCCGACCUGAGAGGGUGAUCGGCCACAUUGGGACUGAGACACGGCCCAAACUCCUACGGGAGGCAGCAGUAGGGAAUCUUCGGCAAUGGACGAAAGUCUGACCGAGCAACGCCGCGUGAGUGAAGAAGGUUUUCGGAUCGUAAAACUCUGUUGGUAGAGAAGAACGUUGGUGAGAGUGGAAAGCUCAUCAAGUGACGGUAACUACCCAGAAAGGGACGGCUAACUACGUG
rnacentral:rRNA from 1 species